GGAAGGGUCUCCGGGCCGGCGGUGUUGCCCCUUGGACGUGCCCUGCCGCUGCGGGCAUGCCGAGAGGUAACACCCCCCCAGUCACGCCGCGGCUCAGCACGAGCUUUCUGAUCCUCCCCUUCCUCGGUAAGUGUGCGGGUUAAUAUUUGUGACAGACCGUGAAGAAACCUCAGAGCAUCCCAGCCUCGUAAGCCUGUCGUGCAACAUACGAGCAGUGAAGUUAAGGUUUCCCGGCCUUCUCGUGCAAGGAUAUCUCUACACAAGGUAUAUAUACCCUGCUUCUAUCUGCAGGACCUCGAAAAGGCACCCUGCUUAGCUGUGCUGCAGGAAUCGCGACUCCUCUUGCCUUGUUCACCGCUGUGAGGCUGCUGGAAACCGUGCAGCCCGAGCCACCCCACUGCAAUGCUCAGCCACUGCCCUCAGAUCCUUGUGAAAUGGGUGUUCCUGCUCAUGCAGGGCAGACAAUGAACCUCCUGUCUUUGUGAAGGUUCCAGAAACACAGAUAAGAAUUUAUUAACUGGCAGCUCUCAGCGAUCAGCAUUUUUGAGACAGUGGCUCUCUGUGGAAAACACUCUCCUCCAGAUACCUGCUCUUUUGUCCUCCCAGCAAAUCCUCUAAUUUUUAGUUCAGCCUUUAUAAGGUUUGCUUUCCUUGCCUCUUCCUGUCUGCAAGGAUUAGAUGUUGUUACUUGUCAGAUAUCAAGCACUUUAUGAAUAAACGUAGGCAAUUGAAAA